rnacentral:rRNA from 1 species
AGUGAACGCUGGCGGUAGGCCUAACGCAUGCAAGUCGAACGGCAGCACAGUAAGAGCUUGCUCUUACGGGUGGCGAGUGGCGGACGGGUGAGGAAUACAUCGGAAUCUACUUUUUCGUGGGGGAUAACGUAGGGAAACUUACGCUAAUACCGCGUACGACCUACGGGUGAAAGCAGGGGAUCUUCGGACCUUGCGCGAUUGAAUGAGCCGAUGUCGGAUUAGCUAGUUGGCGGGGUAAAGGCCCACCAAGGCGACGAUCCGUAGCUGGUCUGAGAGGAUGAUCAGCCACACUGGAACUGAGACACGGUCCAGACUCCUACGGGAGGCAGCAGUGGGGAAUAUUGGACAAUGGGCGCAAGCCUGAUCCAGCCAUACCGCGUGGGUGAAGAAGGCCUUCGGGUUGUAAAGCCCUUUUGUUGGGAAAGAAAAGCAGCAGGUUAAUACCCCGCUGUUCUGACGGUACCCAAAGAAUAAGCACCGGCUAACUUCGUG